GGUAAGGUAAAAGCAAUCAAUCAACGCUGCCUAUUGCCUAUGGGUAAUUGCAUUUGCAUACGAAAAAACGCUCAGCCGAGGUUUGAAUUUUAAAACAGUGUCAUUUUGUCGUCCACGUGGACUCACAGACGCGCAUUGCGCACUCCCUUUCUCUCUUUCCCCUUUCUCACACACUCUCUGCACUUUCACUUCACACUCCAGAUUCUUCCCACCAUGCUCUGCUCGGCUCAGACCGGAAAAUCCGGUCUAAACUGGCUCGACCGCCUCCGGUCCAGCAAGGGCAUCCCAACCGGCGACGACCCCGAUCUCGACUCCUUCCUCCUCACCGCCCAUUCCCAAUCCCCCCAGGCCCGGCCCCUCCCCCCAAACCCUCCCUCCCAGGCCCCACUCCACCCCAAGCCCAAGCCCAAGCCCAAGCCCAAGCCCAUCACCACCAUGCUCGCCGAACUCUUCAACAUGGGCGCCACUCUCACUAAAACCUACAAAAAAUGCCCCCGCAAACAGACCAACCCUAAAAUCUUCCUCCCUUCCUCCUCCUCCUCCGCCGCCGCCGCCACCACCUCCAACGUCGUCUCCGCCGCUCCCAGCGCCGACGCGGCGCUUCCGGAAGUGGAGGAAGAUGCGGCGGCGGAUCGCGGCGACGACGAGGAGGGGAACGAGUUGAAGGGUUUCACGAAGAGCGAGGUAACCGUGAUUGACACGAGUUGCCCCGGGUGGAAGGUGGAUAAAUUCGUGUUCAGGAAGAACAACGUUUGGAAAGUCAGAGAGAGGAAAUCGAAGACCAAAAUUUCCGCCAAGAGGAAGAGUAGCUCCACUCUCGCGCCUUGUGACGUUCAUCUCAAUGCAAUUGAGACCUCCAAGUAAGACCGGACAAUGUAAUCAACAUUAGAGUAGAGAAGCCUGCAAAAACACAAAAGGUUAUCUAAAGCCUUGUCCCAAAAAGAGGCAAGUGUACUUACUGCGAGCUGCUUAUGGUUACUGAUUUUUCUUCUGAUUUGCAAGUAUUUGAAGAGUAGGAAAGGAAAGGAGAUCGAUGUAACUAGACUACAAGGUCUUCCAAGAACUCAAGAAAGGAAAACACAUCUGUCAUUUUAAUAAAAGUCCUCGCUUUGAAAAAGAGCAAAGGAAAAAGAACAAAGUGUAACAAGGAGAGAAAAUAAUUCAAGUCUUUACAGGUCAUUAACUAGAAAAUUUAAGUUAGCUAUGGCAAGUUAUGAUGCAGGCUUCAUCUUUGUGCAAUUUGAUGGUGGCACUACUGGUCUUGGAUUGACAUUUUAUCAAUUAAAAACUAUGUCCUCUUGGAAAGAGCUUGGUUUUGGAGUUCUAAGCAUCCAUUGUAGUGUCAAAAUAUUUAACUUUGUAAAUUUCGGUUCCAUUAUUCUUAAUUUGAAACAUUUUUUCUUCAAUAUAUUUGCAAGCCAUAAGUUGCUUUUCUAUU